CCUUACAUUUUGGGACGGGUAUUUUGUUUUACUGAGAUACAUAGUUAAGAUGUUGAUAUACUCUCACUUCAGUCUUUGCAUUCUUAGCCAGAUCCUGUUCUCUCUCGCUUUCUUCUUCCUCCAUUGAAACUGGAUUUACAGCGAUAGGUCAGAAAUUGUUGUGUCAAAUCCAAGCUUAGGCUAUUUAAGUCUUGCAAUAUUGUAUUGCUCUUUUAUUUUGUACCUACCUAACAUUAACUGCAGAUCAUGGUUAUUGUUUUGGGGGUUUGAGCGUCUUCUUGCUUCUCGUUAGUUGCAAUAUAAAAACCAAAUCCUUUUCCCUGUAUGGACUUGGGUAUAAGUAAAACUUGAAAUUUACUUUUCCGGGAACUUAUUUAUUUGUUGUUCCAGUAGCAUGUUUUUCAACAUAGGAGACGAUGCAAUAUAAAAACUAAAUCAUUUUCCAUGUUUGGUUCUUUUGUUUACCCCAUGCAUUUUCGCGCAUGUGCUUUGGUAGCAUAGUACUGAAUUUGAAAUCUGAAUGGAAUUGAAAUUUUAGGUGGGUAGCUCAACUAAACUAUGCUUGCACUGGCUCGUUGCUGCAUCCAGGAUUUCCCUGAGAUCUAAUUUCAGGAAAUGGUUGGUUGCAGGACUUUUUUUUUAUCCUACGGCUAUUUAUUUGAAUGUUUUCACGUAUUGCUGAUUCUCAGUCAGGUAGUAAAAUGAUCCAUGAGAUCCAAAAUCGUUCUAGCUUAUGGUGGAAGCUCUAAUCAUAAGAUAUACAUGCGUGCUAAGUGUUUCAGGAAAUGGUUGGUUGCAGGACUCUUUUUUUCCUACAGCUAUUUAUUUGAAUGUUUUCAGGUAUUGCUGAUUCACAGUCAGGUAGUAAAACGAUCCAUGAGAUCCAAAAUCGUUCUAGCUUAUGGUGGCAACUCUAAUCAUAAGAUAUACAUGCGUACUAAUUUUUUUGGGUUCAUCGACACAUUUAUGUUGUAGUAAUUAGUUUCAAUUUUCUGAUGAUGGCCUAUACUAAACUGUAGAAGCACAUGCUAUUCAAUUAGUGUAACAAUAUCAUUGCCAAUGAGCAUACUUGUAUCAUAAUAUAUUUAUAUCUGUGAUUGAGAAUUCGUACUUCAGAAAUUUUAUGAAUGGAUCAUAUCAAUCCACAUAGCGUUUCAUCUUAAAAUUUUAUUAUUCAGACUGUUAUUAACUUGUUAUUAAUGUAUGCCAUGCACCUUUCUGUUCAGAUUACUAUUGUUGCUCUGAAAUAGGACAAUCCUAUAGUAUUUAAUGGUCACCCAAAUUUUGCUGCCAAUAGUUCUUGCCUAUGAUUCCAGGAAGAAGAGAAUGUGGAUAGCAUAUAACACGUAAAGUCAGUGAUUUUAGCAUUCUGUCAGUGUCAGAAAAUAAGUAGAGACACUGCUAAUGGGAGCAUGUGUGUUGUUAGGAAUUGCAUUAGCGGUUCAGUUUGGUAAUGUCAGUUCAUAUAUUCCUUCAAUUUCCCUUCCAGCUUGCCAUGCUAUGUAAGACAGCCUCAUAAAUACGUAGUUAUAUAGCGAUGCCAUCUAUGUACUGCAGUUCAGUUUGUUCGUGCAGAUAUUAACUACUUACCGCAUCCAGGCCCAGGAUUUGAGUACCGGUGUGGAAGGUGGAGCUGGCCAACGAACCACUCCCCGCGGGCUGAAGUUUCUUCGUUGGCUAUUGGAUUAUAAAAUUAUCUUUUCAGCUUGUUGUUGGAACGGUUCCACGUUUUCCUUGGUCAGAUUCCUAGCAUUUAAAGGAAUUCGUAAUAUUGUGUUGUUCAUGUCCUGACUCAAGUAUUGUCAAAUAAUCACACCUCAAGAUCAAAUAGAAGUAGAAACCAUAAGCUUCAGGCAAGAUUGAACUAUUAGGUUCCAGUGUUCUCCAUAUUAUGAGGGGAUUCUGCUCAUUGCGUGGUGCAAGAUUGCGUUGUUAUGGGGAAGGGCAAAUCUUCAAGGGAUCAACACUUUGCAAGUAACAUGUGGUCUCUCUAGCGCCUUGACAUAUGCUAAGGUGAUUAGACUUACUCUCGUGAUGCCACCGCACAACGUCAACUCCAGCUGGCCUCCUUCUAGGUUUCCUACGCCCUCACUGGUCUAUGGUCAAUUUUGUUUCGUGUCUUCUACGAAUUUCGAUUCUAUUGUAAUCCACUACCACAUUAUGAGGUUUAUGAUGUUUGAAGAAAAGCUUAGUAUGGCAAAGUAGCUUCCCAAGAUGAAAACCAGACCUUUCCGUGCCCGAUGGCAUCUGAAAGUUCUGAGGGGAUGAUGUGCGAUCAUCGACUACCCCGGUUUGGUCACUACGUCAUGCUGCUCCCAGAGAUAUUAACUCACCUGCGCUCUGUCAUGAGGACAAGGACAUAUGAGGUUACACGUGCAAUCUUGUCAUGUGUGUAAAGAUACAAAGUCCCUGAUGAUUUGUAGUUUUUCUGGUUCUUGAAUUACAAAGAGGGUUUCCUUUUCCCAGCCCUGCUGCACGAGGCUACACGUGCAAUCUUGAGAAAAAAUCACAUCCCAUGGCUCAAAGUUCAUAACAUCGAGUUCUCUAAGCAUGAAGAUAAAUGUGUUCUUAACCGAUUUGGUGUUAGGAUGUGGACCUGCCUAUGGUGUUCCAGGAUUUCAACUGCAAUUAACAGCUUGCCUUGCAAAUAUUUGGGGUUACCACUAGGUUUUCGGAAGCCUAGGCGUGUCGAGGUGCAGCCUAUCAUUGACAGGCUUGCAUCCAAAUCCAAAGGCUGGAUUGCAAGGUUGUUGGCUAAGCCAGGGCGUCUGGCCCUAAUCAACUCAGUGUUAUCUUCGACUACAACCUAUUCCUUGACCAUGUUUGCUGCUAACCCUUGGGCUGUGAAGAAGAUGAACAAGAUCUGCGGAGAUUUCCUUUGGGACAUCGAGGAAGGAGUCAAUGGUGGAGGCAAAUGCAUGGUGAGCUCGAAGCAGAUUUGCAGCCCAAAAAUUGUUGGAGGUCUCGGUAUCAUGGAUAUGGUGGCAUUUAAUUAGUAGAGCUCUGAGACUUCGCUGGCUAUGGUUCCAAUGGAAAGGAACGGCCUUGGUUUGGCACCACACUGAGGUGCCCUAUGACCUUGUUGACAAGCAGCUAUUAUCUGCCUGCACCCAAAUUCAGCUUGGCAAUGGUGAAAAAUUCAAGUUAGACAGAUGGAUAUGCAUAUGCACCCCAAUGCCUCUCACAUCUCCUGUUCUACUUGGCCUGGAGGAAAACUUGUUGGUAAAGGAGACACUCAGGGAAACAUAUGGAUGAAAGGCUCAGAGAUAGUUUCUUCAGUUGAGGAGAUGGACCAAUUCUUUGUCUUGUGGCAGAAAACUCAGAGUGUUGAUCUCUCGGAUACCCCUGAUUCCAUAUGUUGGUCGCUCACUUAGGACUGCUGCUACAUAGCAAAGUCGACGUACGAGUUCCAAUUCAAAGCUAAGCCAAGCUCCCUCUGCCUCACUUGAACCAAGUUUGGAAGGUUAGAACUGAGCCAAAAAUCAACUUCCAUUGCUGGCUGUUGGUGCAAGAUAGGCUUUGGACCGCAGACAGAUUGCAACGUCGGGCUAAUCUGCCCAAGAUCUGUGUCCUCUUUGCGAUCAGGUGUCAGAGUCGGCAGCUCACAUCACCAUCGUCUGCCCUUUUGCGAGAGAAGUUUGGCAUGUGCUUUCCAGUGACCAUCCUCUGCCUGACAACAUCGGCACCUCAUCUACCUCCAUUCGGUCUUGGUGGAGCAGGCAGCUCAUCUGUCUUGUACAGUUUUUCCCUACUGAAAUGAAAUGGCAGAGCUCCUGCCUUUAACUGCAGA